rnacentral:rRNA from 1 species
GAUGAACGCUAGCUACAGGCUUAACACAUGCAAGUCGCGGGGCAGCAUGGGGGUUGCUUGCAAUCCCCGAUGGCGACCGGCGCACGGGUGAGUAACGCGUAUCCAACCUGCCCUUCACCACGGGAUAACCCGGCGAAAGUCGGACUAAUACCGUAUGUUGUCCAUUGACGGCAUCCGAUUUGGACGAAAGGUUUGGCGGGGAAGGAUGGGGAUGCGUCCGAUUAGCUGGACGGCGGGGUGAGGGCCCACCGUGGCGACGAUCGGUAGGGGUUCUGAGAGGAAGGUCCCCCACACUGGAACUGAGACACGGUCCAGACUCCUACGGGAGGCAGCAGUGAGGAAUAUUGGUCAAUGGGCGUAAGCCUGAACCAGCCAAGUAGCGUGCAGGAUGACGGCCCUAUGGGUUGUAAACUGCUUUUAUGCGGGGAUAAAGUGGCCCACGUGUGGGUUUUUGCAGGUACCGCAUGAAUAAGGACCGGCUAAUUCCGUG